rnacentral:misc_RNA from 1 species
UAGGACUACAGGGGUUUCUAAUCCUGUUUGAUCCCCACGCUUUCGUGCCUCAGUGUCAAUGCAAGCUUAGUGAACUGCCUUCGCAAUCGGUGUUCUAUUACAUAUCUAAGCAUUUCACCGCUACAUGUAAUAUUCCAUCCACCUCAACUUGAUUCAAGUCCGUCAGUAUCAAUGGCAAUUCUGGAGUUGAGCUCCAGGCUUUCACCGCUGACUUAACAGACCACCUACGCACCCUUUAAACCCAGUGAAUCCGGAUAACGCUUGCACCCUCCGUAUUACCGCGGCGGCUGGCAC